rnacentral:rRNA from 1 species
GGAUGAACGCUGGCGGCGUGCCUAAUCCAUGCAAGUCGAGCGAACAGAUAAGGAGCUUGCUCCUUUGACGUUAGCGGCGGACGGGUGAGUAACACGUGGAUAACCUACCUAUAAGACUGGGAUAACUUCGGGAAACCGGAGCUAAUACCGGAUAACAUAUUGAACCGCAUGGUUCAAUAGUGAAAGGCGGCUUUGCUGUCACUUAUAGAUGGAUCCGCGCCGUAUUAGCUAGUUGGUAAGGUAACGGCUUACCAAGGCAACGAUACGUAGCCGACCUGAGAGGGUGAUCGGCCACACUGGAACUGAGACACGGUCCAGACUCCUACGGGAGGCAGCAGUAGGGAAUCUUCCGCAAUGGGCGAAAGCCUGACGGAGCAACGCCGCGUGAGUGAUGAAGGUCUUCGGAUCGUAAAACUCUGUUAUCAGGGAAGAACAAAUGUGUAAGUAACUGUGCACAUCUUGACGGUACCUGAUCAGAAAGCCACGGCUAACUACGUG